UGGGUGAUUCCUCCGGCUUUGC
rnacentral:siRNA from 1 species